rnacentral:rRNA from 1 species
UAAUACGGAGGGUGCAAGCGUUAUCCGGAAUCACUGGGUUUAAAGGGUGCGUAGGCGGUGAGAUAAGUCAGUCGUGAAAUCUCUUGGCUUAACCAAUGAAAUUGCGAUUGAUACUGUUUUACUUGAAAGAGGUUGAGGUCAGCGGAAUGUGGCAUGUAGCGGUGAAAUGCAUAGAUAUGCCAUAGAACACCGAUUGCGAAGGCAGCUGGCUGGACCUACUUUGACGCUGAGGCACGAAAGCGUGGGGAGCAAACAGGAUUAGAUACCCUGGUAGUCCACGCCCUAAACGAUGUUUACUUGCUGUUCGGGUCUUGUACUUGAGUGGCGAAGCGAAAGCGAUAAGUAAACCACCUGGGGAGUACGCCGGCAACGGUG